rnacentral:rRNA from 1 species
AGGACUAACGUUGGCGGCGUGCCUAAUACAUGCAAGUCGAGCGGGUCAGGGGGGCAACUCCUGAUUAGCGGCGGAACGGGUGAGUAACACGUGGAUGAUCUACCUCCGAGAUUGGGACAACCAGCCGAAAGGUUGGCUAAUACCGAAUAAGACCACGGCUAGCAUCGACUAGCUGACGGUAAAAGCGUGGGGAUCGCAAGACCUAGCACUUGGAUAUGAGUCCGCGCCUGAUUAGCUAGUUGGCGGGGUAAUGGCCCACCAAGGCGACGAUCAGUAGCCGGCCUGAGAGGGUGAACGGCCACACUGGAACUGAGACACGGUCCAGACUCCUACGGGAGGCAGCAGUAGGGAAUUUUCCACAAUGGGCGCAAGCCUGAUGGAGCAACGCCGCGUGAGGGAUGAAGGUCUUCGGAUUGUAAACCUCUUUGGAGUGGGAAGAAUGUCCUCGGUGCUAACAGUGCUGGAGGAGUGACGGUACCACUAGAACAAGACACGGCUAACUCG